rnacentral:rRNA from 1 species
AGUAACGCGUGAGCAAUCUGCCUUUAAGAGGGGGAUAACAGUCGGAAACGGCUGCUAAUACCGCAUAAAGCAUUAAAUUCGCAUGUUUUUGAUGCCAAAGGAGCAAUCCGCUUUUAGAUGAGCUCGCGUCUGAUUAGCUAGUUGGCGGGGUAACGGCCCACCAAGGCGACGAUCAGUAGCCGGACUGAGAGGUUGAACGGCCACAUUGGGACUGAGACACGGCCCAG